GGUGGGAUGCCUGAGUGGUUUAAAGGACACGCUUGGAGAGCGUGCGUGCUCGUGAGAGCACCGUGAGUUCGAAUCUCACUCCCACCGCCA
rnacentral:tRNA from 1 species